UCAUUGUUUCUAAUGAAAACAUCAAAUUAUGAACAUUUAUUUGCUAAAGCAUUUUUUUCAAAAUCAUGCUUUCUAAAUCAUGCAAACUAAAAGAAACACAUCAAUAAUUAACAACAUAUUGGGCUAUCAUGUUUAAUUACAAUCAACAAAAUCAUCCUACAAUCAUUUAUGGAGAUAGGCAUAAUGUUGAUUGCGGUGGCGUUGCAUUCACUUUUGGAGCAUGUCCGAAUAUUCAAAUGCCCAAAGCUGCAACUAUUUACCCUCCAGUAAUACAUGACCCAAAUGCUCAACAGCAAGCUUUUCAAAAUAUUCAUAAAGACUGUUUAGACUUGUUAAAAAUAGGUUCAUUUCUCAAAAAUAAUAAAUGUGAAUACAAACUAAAUUACAAUAAAAAAUCAUCAACUUCUGAUUUGUUGGCGAGCUCGAGUCAAAUACAGAAAUCUGGUGGAUAUAUUAAUAUAUACAAUUUUUAUUAAAACUAACUAACUAACUGAUAUACAUUUUAGAAGGCAUGCCAGAUUUUAAAAAUAUUUCAGCGAAGACGAAUACCAAAGGUCAAAACGGAACAGAUCAAAAAUGACCACAUAUACGAUGUAUUAAAUGAGGAAAAGCAUCGUGAUGAAAAAUGUGUGAAAUUUGCUGAUGUUCAAAUGAACACUGAUUCAGAUAAAAAUACUUUAAAACUUUGUACAUGUGACAGCGAAAAUAAAGAAAGAAAUGAAACUAAAUUAAAUAUUUGUUGUUGCCAGAAACAAGAAAAAUUUACAAAUAAAUUAGAAAUUUUAAAGGCUGACAACAAAUGUAUGUUAAUUAAGCACGCCAUUAAUGAGAAUAAUACUGAGUAUGUGAUACUUGAAUCUUGUCAUAUGUGUUCUGGUCUAAAUAUAAAAAUGUUAGACGACAAAUUGAAAGAAAAAUUAAUUUGUUCUACUUGUGGUUGUUUCAAAAUUAGCCAAACAGAACGGUUUCAAAAAGAAAACAACAACAGUAACAACAAUAAUACUGCUAAUAAUAAUGAUAAAAAAGAUGAAGCGACUUGUUCUACUUGCGGUUGUUUGAAGAUUUGUGAGCCAGACCAGAAUCAAAGAGAGAACAACAAUAACACCGACAAUAACAACAACAGUAACAUCAACAAUAAUAAAAAUAAUAAUAAUGGUAAUAAGAAGGAAGAAGGCACGUUAACUGAUUGUACAGAUAAAAAGAUGGUAAACCAAAGUACGUCUUAUUCAGAAUCAAGUGUUUCAAACAAGAAUGAUGACGACGAAGAUGAAUGUUGUUGCCAUCAGAAAAGAAAUAGAAGAAAAAAACAAAGAACUAGAGGUAGACCCAAAAAAAAUAAAAAAAGUAAGAAUAGAUCCAGAUCCAAGUUAUGGUCCCGUAAAGCUGCGGAUGAAUGGGAAGAUGUGGAAAUGGCUAGUGGAAGCGAAUCGGAAAACAGAGACAAAAUGAACCGACAAUUAAUGAAAAAUUCACAGAAUUUCGAUGAAAGUAAUUGAAAUAUUAAUGUUAUUUUCUUAGUUGAAGCCCAUUUGUUUUUUAAAGUGAUAUUGAAAAUACAUUAUGGAUAAUGAAAAUGUGAUCGUUAUUUGUUACAUAUGUGAGGAAACAUUUAUAUUGGCAAUGGCAAAGGCAUUGCAUAUGUUAUAAUUAAACACUAUACAUUAUUUUUUGCCAGACAAUUCUGGAAUUAGAUAGAUCAACCUUUAAAUAUCUCAGGAGUUGCAUGCUUGGUAAAAUAAUAAUAAAAUACCUACCGUUUUCUAAUCAAAUAACUUAUAAAAUUACAAGAAACACAAUUGUAUUUAUACAAAUUAUGUGUGACAAUUUUGUCACUUCAAUUCUAUAAACAAAUCUACAUUAAAUUAAUUUUGACUUUUGACAAACAUAUUUUUCACAAUGUCCUACGAAAAAUUUACUACACCAAAAUUUGAACAACUCGAUCAAACCAUUGAUUUGUGGAUAUCUGAUAUAAAUGAAUGGGAUAAUCUUUUUUUACGUCAACAUGAAGAUUUAGAUGAUACAGAAAAGAAAAUUUCAUCAAAUGAUACUCAGCUUUAUACAAUAUGUGAUCAAAUAAAUGCUCUAAAAAUCUGUCAAAAACUGGUGGAAGAUGACAUUAAAUAUAUUAAAAAAAUUCAAACAAUUUUGGAUGAAAAAAUAUCAAUACUGGAACAAAUAGACAGGUGUUCUUGUGCAGACCUCUUUAGAUUUAAAUUAUAUUCCACUGCUGAGAAAAUUUAUGUCCAAUUAAAUAACUGCGACGAAUUAAUUAGCAAAUAUUGUGAAAAGAAAGACAACAUGUCCUGUCAAUAUUUCGAACCAUUUGCACGUGCCAUGGAAACUAAUUUGAGUAAACUCGAAGAUUUGGAAAAAAAUAUUUGCCAUUUAGAAAAAAAAAUAAACGAAACGGAAAUGUUGAAGUAUUACACAUUACAUAAACUUAAACUGAAAGAAAACAAAUUGGUGUAGUGAAUUUUCGUCUACGAUCAUUUAUUUUGGGAAUGUAAAAAGUGCUUGUGAAAAAGUUACAA